UUGACAUUUUAUUCUACCAACCAAAUUUAUUAACGGUAAGAACAACAUACCAUGAAGAAGCCAAAACAAGUUGCCGUUAGUCAUGAACUCAUAGACCAAUAACUUCUCAUCCCGUGCAAAAUAAUACGCCUUCAAACUAACGACGUUAGGAUGCCGUAACCUCCCUAGCACCUCCAUCUGCUGUUCAAACUCCCGUUUACCACCAAUCGCCGCCUCCUUCAACCGCUUCACCGCCACCACAUUACCGUCAUCCAACACCGCCUUGUACGCCGUCCCAAACCCCCCUUUCCCCAACAUCUCCGCUGACGCUCUCAACAAAUCUUCCAACUCAAACCUCCUCGCCCCCUCAAAAAAGACCAUUUUACCCCUCUCAAACCCCGUGUUUGCAUUCAUGUUCGCGUUCAUGUUCGUGGUGUUCGGGUAAGGACUAGACGAGUAAACUAUUUUCUCCCCUUCUAAAAUCCUUGACGACGUUAACUUCCCGUUACCAUUUUUAAAAUUCCUCCAGAAAUAACAAUACAAAAUUAACGUCACUAACGCCAAAACCAACACAUCUCCAAUAAUAAUCCCUACAAUAGCCACAGUGCUUAUUUUUCCACUACCGUGAUGACCCGUUGACUUUUUACUAUUCGGCAUUAACGCCGUUGACGGCAUUGAGCUAGGUGUUGAUGCUACAACCGUGUUAGCCGGAUGACCCAACGGUUGACCUAACGGCGCCGUUAAACCAGGUACUUCCGGUUCCGUACAGUUAGACAACGGAUAUCCACAUAAUAUCCGAUUAUUUGCAAAUGCAGAUUCCGGAAAGUUCGACAGUACGGCCGGUAUUUCACCGGAAAUUUCAUUACUUGAAAUAUUAAACUCUUGUAAGCUUUGUAAGUUCACGACUUUGAUAGAACCUGAAAACUUGUUAUUCUCUAACCGUAAGGUUAACAAGUUGGUCAAACGGUUGAUUGUGACCGGAAUCUCGCCGGAGAAGUUGUUGUAGGAUAGAUCGAGGCGGUAGAGGCCGGAUAACGACGGUACGGACGCCGGAAAGGUGUCGGAGAUUUGGUUGUUGGAGAGGAAGAGGAGUUUGAGUGAGGUGAGGUUAGAGAGAUCUGGAACGGGGCCGGUGAGUUGGUUGUUUUUGAGAGAGAGGAUACGGAGGUUAGUGAGGGCGGUGAGUGAGUCGAACCGGCCGUGUAAGUUGAGGUUUUCGAGGACGAGUCGAGUGACUCGGUUGUGGAGGCAGGAGACGCCGGAGAAGGUGCAGGGAUCGGUGGAGUUGUUCCAGGAGGUGAGUUGGUUGGAUGAAGGGUGGAGAUUAAGAGGAAGAAGAGGAAAUGUGGUGGUGGAGACGAUGGUUCAACCAUUGUUGUGUGUGAGAGAGAAAGGUGUUACCGGCGGUGGGAGAAGAGCCAGUGUACUGUGGAAUGAGUGCAGUGAGGGGAAGAACGUGAACGUUAAUGAGGAUGAUUCAUCAGAGGCAAAUGUUGGUAUUUAGUCCCUGUAGUUUCUUCGUUUACAAGACUAGACCCUUUGAUUGUAUUUUAUUGGGUUAGCGAGUAUACGUAUACAUCAAACGGAUAAAACAAAGUCUUUAAUUAGAAAAAGGUGGACGAUUACUU
rnacentral:lncRNA from 1 species